UGUAUGGGCUCAAAAAAGGCUCCCAACGAAGAGCCAUUGCGGAAGAAUCCUUUCCGUCCUGGAUUUGGAAUCCCUCGCUACCGUCAUCCGAUCCGAGGUUUGAUUUCCCCCGUACGCCUUACAUGGAGAUUUCAUCGGAACCGACCACAUCCACCUGCAGCCACUGGUAAUCUCUUCUUUUUGUAUUAUUUUGUUGCUUUGGUUUCCUAUAAAUAUGUUGGUAAUUCCAGAAUUUCUGGUCGUUAGUGGUGUUUCUGGUUAUCUUGUUUUGAUCCAUUGUUCUUUUUAACCGCUUAUUUGAAUUCAAAGGCAUUCUUAGCUUCCCAUUUCCGAGAUUAUAUUUCUUCUCACGAAUUUGUUAUUUGGGGGCUUAUCUUUGUGAUUAGAAAGAGAAAAGUUGAAUUUUCUUUUAUUAGGGAUUUAUUGGCCUUAGAGAGUCUUUGAGUUUAAAUUUUACGAGGAUUUUCAAUUAUGUGGCAACGCAGGCUAGAAUAGCUGGAUUAUCCUUAAUGCACCUGAUUCUUGAACGUACUAGAAAAUCAGAUUGAA